UACGGAGGGUGCGAGCGUUAAUCGGAAUUACUGGGCGUAAAGGGUGCGUAGGUGGUUGAAUAAGUUAUCUGUGAAAAGCCUGGGCUUAACCUGGGUCUGUCAGAUGAUACUGUUUAACUCGAGUAUGGGAGAGGGUAGUGGAAUUUCCGGUGUAGCGGUGAAAUGCGUAGAGAUCGGAAGGAACACCAGUGGCGAAGGCGGCUACCUGGCCCAAUACUGACACUGAGGCACGAAAGCGUGGGGAGCAAACAGG
rnacentral:rRNA from 1 species